AUGCAGAACAAGGGUUUGUUUGAGCCGAGGAGGAAGCAGCGGUUGGAGGUGGCACAGCGCCAGGCGUGGCGGACGGCGCGGCAGCGGAGGAGGGAUUUGGGGUCGAGGCGGACGAGGAUCUCCCAUAUCACGAUCUCAUCUGGGAGGUUGCCGAGGAGAGGCGUCCUCCGCUAUGGUCGCCGGCUGUGGCUGACUGGCUGGUGCUGGUGGGUGGUUGCGGCGGAGGGGAGGUGGGAGUGGAGUGGAGUGUUAGGUGUCUUUUUUAGGGGAGAGUGGAGUGUUAGGUCUUUCGGCAGAAUGGAAAUGGAUGCAAGUCUGACUUGA
rnacentral:rRNA from 1 species